CUCAAUUGCCUGGACCCAGAAAAGUUCGACGCCGGAAACCGCGGCAUCGACGGCGCAGGCGGGGGAUCAUGGAACUGGAGAACUUCAUGGCCAACACUUUGUUGCUGAAGGCUCGUCAAGGAUUUACCAAAAAGACUGGUCGCAGUAAAAAGUGGAGAGAGCUCCUGAAGUUGCCCCCAGUCAGCAUGUGCAGUGACUUACGACACUCCAUCGCAGAGGGAUUCUUCUCUUAAGGAGCUGAGGAGCAACCACAGGAGCAGCUCAGCCAGAACCAACUCAAGCUGAGCUAUGGCUGCCAGAAGAAUGGCUCUAAAGAUGAUUCUGGCCUCUGUUAAAACCAACCACAGGCAGUGCCAUCAAUAAGGAGAGCGAAGAGGAAGAGGCAGUGUUGAGUCUCGGCAAUGAACUCCUUGUUUAGGGAGCACCACGAGUGUCAGUGGCUUGGACACUCAGAGUACCUUUCGGUUCUUCUCCUGCAGGGGGAACAGAGUUUCCUUUGACCUGACCUUCUAACCUUGGAGAAUUAAAUGGUGACUUGUAAAAAUAAAUGAAUAAAUGUG
rnacentral:lncRNA from 1 species